rnacentral:rRNA from 1 species
CCUACGGGUGGCAGCAGUGAGGAAUAUUGGUCAAUGGACGAGAGUCUGAACCAGCCAAGUAGCGUGAAGGAUGACUGCCCUAUGGGUUGUAAACUUCUUUUAUAUGGGAAUAAAACGUUCCACGUGUGGGAUUUUGUAUGUACCAUAUGAAUAAGGAUCGGCUAACUCCGUGCCAGCAGCCGCGGUAAUACGGAGGAUCCGAGCGUUAUCCGGAUUUAUUGGGUGUAAAGGGCGCGUAGGUGGAUUGUUAAGUCAGUUGUGAAAGUUUGCGGCUCAACCGUAAAAUUGCAGUUGAAACUGGCAGUCUUGAGUACAGUAGAGGUGGGCGGAAUUCGUGGUGUAGCGGUGAAAUGCUUAGAUAUCACGAAGAACUCUGAUUGCGAAGGCAGUUCACUGGACUGCAACUGACACUGAGGCUCGAAAGUGUGGGUAUCAAACAGGAUUAGAUACCCUGGUAGUC